rnacentral:lncRNA from 1 species
UGUGUGGGGCGUGGGUGCAGAGACGUUUGCAUUCGACGCAGCUUUGGAUGACGGGGGUACAGAGACAGACUGUACGAGCGACGCAACGUAAGUAUAUAUAUAUCCGUAUGAGGAGAUGCGGGGUGUAUGGACUAGCUAUAUGCUAUCAUCGCAUUGUUUGUGUUGUGUUUGUGUGAUACUUUAGGCGUCUUGUUUGUUCAUGUUAGAGCUAAACUUCCAUAGUGGGAGUUCUAUUACUCAAGUCAGUGGUUUGCGUGUUUAGCAUCCCAUACCUCACGGAGUAACUCUC